GUGUUGGACACUACCCUGUCUUCUCUGUGGGAUCCAAAGAAUAGUCCCUUGAAUCUAGGACAGGGCAGAGGUAAGCCAGGCUGAAGAAACAUCAAGAAAAGCCCCAGAAAUAAGCUGUAAAAUCCCUAUGUAUCAAAAAUGAUCUGCAUCAUGUCUCAGGGUUGCCUAGAUUUUAUGGGGUGAGACUUUUUGAAACUUGUCCCAUUGUGAUUUCUAGGUACAGCCUGCCUGUGUUCCCCAUGGACCCUCUCUCCCAGGAUCCAUUGUGUUUCUCAACAGCGCUACUGGACACCAUUCUCAGGCUGGCAAUUGCCACAGAGGGCAUCUGAGACAUUGUCUCAACUUCAUCUGCACCAGUGGGAGGCCUUUCCCAGGUGGGAGAACACUACUCCACUUUGGAAUUGCCAUUGUCAGUGUUCCUGGCUUUCCCAGAGAGCCACUGCAAGGCCCAGGAUGAAGGGAGGCAGUGAGAUUAAGGACACAAUCAUCUUUCACUGACAUCCAACUCUGGGACCUCAGCCUCUUUCAGAAAUGAAGUCAGAAAAGCAGUUUCCAGGGACCACCUCAGCGUCUCAAAACCCCUCCACUUCCAAUGGGAAAUGACCACAGAGAUGUUCUGAAGGGGCCCUAGGAGGAGACUUUUAGGGUCCCACAGUGGUUUGUCGCAUGUAUAAUUUUUCCUAAUACCAGGCCAAUUCUGUCUGUACCAUUUUCCACUGCUUAGGCACUGACAGCUCUGACAGCCGGGCACCAGAGCUGGCUUUAUGAAUGCUCAUGUGUUUGUCUCAGGGCACCAGGCCUGAGCUGUGAGCUCUGGCUAGAGUCACAAUGUAUGCCACCUUUGCCUAGCGACAAGUCCCUGCAGCUUGCCAGAGAAGGAAAACUCCUUGGAGGUGCAUCAGCAAUUGAAUCUCCCCUGUGUUCUCUUUGGGAUCCGUGGAAUAAUCCCAUGAUCCUAGGAGAGGGCAGAUAUUUGCCAGUGUGAAGAAACAUCAAGCAGAGCCCCAUAAAUAAACAGUGAAAUACCUAUGCAUCCAAAAUGAUCUGCACGAUGCCUCAGGCUUGCCUAAAGGUUGUGGGGUGAGUCUUUUUGAAAAUUGCCACGCUGCGAUUUUGAGGUACAGCCUGCCUGUGUUCCCCAGGGCUGUUAUCUCCCAGGUGGGGUUUCCUGCAGAACCACAAAGACUCAGAAGCUGUCAAGCUGUCUGUUUCUUUAGGAUUGUGGUGAAUCUUGGACAUCUGCAUGAGUCUGUGGCCUCAUGUGUUUGUGUGUGUGUGUAUGUGUGUAUGUGUGUGCCUGUAUGUGGAGUUCUCUUGAAGAAAUGUGGCUAACACACUUCAGAACUUCUCUUAUUUUUUUUUUUAUGUCUCACAAACGUUUGAUGGCCUUUCAUUGUGUCUCUACCUGGGCUGUGGGGCUCCAAAUUCUCUAAUUUUCUGCGGAUCGUGAAUCCACAGUGAAGUGGGAGGGGUGCUGAGACCCACCGGUGUCCAAAUCACCUGUGCCAAAAUAGCCACUCUACUAGAAAGAAGAGGAGCAUACCACACCAAAAAACACAUCUGCCAGUGUAUCAUAGGCAUAUGGCCAAUCCAAGAAGGGAUAGUAGCAGUCCUGUCUGCAGGGCCCCUUGAAUGUACCUUGAACUCAGUUCCCAGCCAAGCAGAUGCUUCAUAUUGUAAGGGGGCACUCCUCUAUUGUCUAUUGUCUUGGGAUGUCAUCCUGGGACACAGAGUGUGAGCAGCACUCUCUUCUUUUCUUGACUUCCUGUUCCUCAUCUGCCUAGGGUUUCCUCAUUCUGGCUUAACGACUUCAACACAAAACGUUUAAAACUUCACUUAGAACGAUCCUCAUGGGAAUCCAUUGUAGAGUCUCUUCCUUUGGGCUGUUCCUGGAUGGGACUGCCUGGCACCACAGAUCACUUAGCUGCCAGGAACUUCAGCGAGCAUAAGAGACUUCAGGUAUGCUGGUUGUGAUCCAGAUAGUGGGUUGUUUUCUCUUUGUGGGGGCUGAGUUUGUUUGCACUUUGCAGGAGGCUUUGGGUUCUCUGAUGGGAAUGUUUGAAUGUUGCCUGGACUCUAGCACAAGUAAGCUCAUUUGUUCAGAAGAGCCUUAACUUUUCCUUGGUUUCAUGUGGGGUCCACAGUGUCCCUCAACAGCACUAAUGAACAUCAUUUUCAUGCUUGCAAUCACCACAGACAUCCUCUUAGACAGGGUCUCAACAUCAUCUGCACCCAUGAGAGGCCAAUUCAAGGUUUGAGAACCCUGCUACAUAUUGGACUUUCAUUUUUCAUGGUUCUUGACUUUCCCAGAAAGCCUUUGUGAGGCCCAGGAUGAAGGGAGGCAAUGAGGUUAAGGGCCCAACUGCCAGAAUAUAUUCCAAUACCCACGGGACUUGAUUACUGCACACAGCCUCUUUCGUGAAUGGUGUCAAAAGGGCCAUUUCCUCAGGCCUGCCUAGACGUUGUACGGGUGAGUCUUUUUGAAUCUUGCCCCACUGUGAUUUCUAGGUACAGAUCAUCUGUGUUCCCCAGGGUUGCUCUCUCCUAGAUGGGGCUUUCUGCAGAACCACACUGCCUCAGGAGCUGCCAGGCCAUGUGUUUCUGUGGGAGUAUUGCAAGUGUUAGAUUUAUGCGUCUGUGUGUGGUGUGUAUUUGUGUGUGUGUGUGUGUGUGUGUGUGUGUGUGUGUGUGUGGCUGUAAGUGGAGUCUGCUUAAUGGAAUGUGGCUAACACACUUCAGCCCUUCUUCUUCUCUCUUUCUUUUUUUUUUCAGUCUCACAACCUUUUGGUUGUCUGUCUUUGUGGCUUUGCUUGGGCUGCCCAGCUCUUUGUUCUUUAUUUUCCUGUGGUUCAUGAAUCUAUAGUUAAUUGUGUGCUGAGACCCACUGGCAUUCAAAUCCUCUCCCACUGCAAAAAAUAAAUAAAUAAAUAAAUAAAUAAAUAAAUAAAUAAAUAAAUAAAAUAAAAAGCCUUUCGUCUACAAAGAAAGGGAGCACUCUUCUCCAAAAAACAGACAUCUCCAUCAUUUCAUUUUCGUGUGGUCAACCCAGGAAGAGACACUGGCUGUCCUGUCCGCAGGGCCCUUGAAUGUAUCUGUAAUUCAGUUCCCAACCAAUCAGGUGCUUCACAUCAUGAGGGAGAACUCUUCCAUCAUCUUGGAAUUUUAUCCUGUUACAUAGAGUGUGGGCAGCAAUAAAGUCAGAUGGGGUGAGGAUACAAUCUGGUGAGAAGUGGAUGGGGGUCCUGCAACUUCAUCUGCAAAAAAAUGAAGACUGAUGACACAGAAGGUGUUUCCAACUCCAUCCCCACAUUUUCUUAAUUGCACAAGCAGUCCACACAAUGGUCUGGUGUUGAAGUGGGAAUAUUCCAAUGUGUAAGAAACAUUUGGAGUGCAAAUUUGGGACACAAGGCAGCUCAUUCUCUCAGGCAAGCCUUGAUUUUCCUUUGCUUUCAUGGGGAAUCCACAGUGCCCCACAACAGCACUACUGGACACUUAUUUCGGGAUUUCCAUUGCCAGAGACGGCCUCUGAGAAACUGUCUCAACCUCAUCUUCACCCUUGAGAAGCCAGUCCAAGGUGUGAGAACACUUCUCCACCUUGGACUUGCCUUUGUCAUGGUUUCUGCCAUUACCAGAGGUUUCCUGCCUUUCCCAGAUGGCCACUGUGAAGCUCAGGAUGAAGGGAGGCAGUGAGGUGAAUAUCCUGGCCAUCUUUCACUGACAGAGACUCCACCUCUGGAGUCUCAGGUAUGAUUCAAUCAUCCAAAAUACCUCGACAGCACACCAGAUCAAAUUCCAGUCCCCAUGGGACCCAAUUAUUUCACGCAACCUCUCUGAGAAAUGAAAUCAGAAGAAGAGUUGUGAGUGAAGACCUCACAGUUUCAAAACGCUUCCUCCUGUAGCAGGACCCAACCACAGAGACUGCCAGAAGGGGCCCUGAGGUCAAAAUUUUUAGGGUCCCUCAGUGGAUACUUGCAGGCAGGCUUUUUUUCAGAUAUCAGGCCGCUUUCAUCUGUACUAUUUUCCUCUGCUUAGGCAGGCUGACAGCUCUGAUAGCCUGGCACCAGAACCUACUUUGUGCUUACACAGGCGCUAGUCUCAGGGCACCAGGCUUGAUUGUGAGCUCUGGCUAGCAUCACAGUGAAUGUCACUGUUGCCUAACAAUAAGUCUCUGCGGCUUAGGGGAGGAGAACUCCGUGAAGGCAUAUGGGCUGUGGACUCUCACCUGUCUUCUCUGUGGGAUCCAUGAUGUAGUCCCAUGAUCCCAGGACAGGGCAGACCUGAGCCAGCAUGAUAAAAAGUCAAGUAGAACCCCAAGAAUAAACCACAAAAUCUCUAAGAUUUCAGAAGGAUUUGUAGAAUGCAGCAGGCCUGCCUACACAUUGUAGAGUUGAGUUUUUUGAAACUUGCUCCACUGUGAUUUCUAGAAGCACCCUGUCUGUGUUGCCCAGAAUUGCUCUCACCCAGGUGAGGCUUCCUGCAGAACCAUGCAACCUCAGAAGCAGUUCUUAGAUGUCUGCUUGUAGGUGUGACUUUCUGCCUUUGUGUGUGUGUGUGUGUGUGUGCACUCGUGUAAGUGCCUGUAAGUCAAGCCUGCUUAAAAGAAUGUGGCUAAUGCCCUGCAGCAAUUCUUUUUUAUUUGCAUCUCCCAACCUUUAGGUGGUCUGUUUGUGUGGCUCUUCUUAGGCUGAAGGGCUCCAUGUUCUUUAAUUUUUCUGUGGAUCAUGAAUAGAAGUGAAUUUGGACACUGGCUGUGACCUGCUGGUGUCCACUUCACCUCCCCAUGCAAAAAAAAAAAAAAAAAAAAAAAAUUCUUCUAGAAAGAAUAGGAGCAUAAAACAUCCAAGAACAGACAUCUCCAAUUGUUUCAUUGUUCUGCAGCCAACCCAGGGAGAAAAACUAGCAGUCCUGUCUGCAGGACUUUUGAAUUUAUUUUGAAUUUAUUUUGAAUUCGGUUGCCACAUGAGCAGGUGGUUCAUGUCAUGAAGUGGCACUUCUGCAAAGCCUUGAGAUUUCAUUCUGAAACAUAGAGUGUGAGCAGCAAUAUGAUCAUAUAGGGUGUUUCCUGGGAUUGGCUCAUCGACCUCUACACUAAAUGUUUCCAAGGUCAUGGAGAACGACCCCAGUGGGAAUCCAUUGACCUUCUCUUUGUGGAGGGGAUCUUUUAUUGGCUUGUUCCUGGAUGGGACUGACUUUGACCAAAUAUUAUCAAGGUGACAGUGACUUCAGAGAGCUGAAGGGACUUCAGAGUGACCCUCAACAGAACUACUGGACACUCUUUUUGGGCUUACCAUCACUACAGACGGCCUCUGGGGCAUUAUCUCAAACUCAUCUCCACCUGUGAGUGGACAGUCCGAGGUGUGAGAACACUGCUCCAAUGUGGACUUGCAUUUUUCUUGGUUCCUGCCUUUCCAAGACAGCCCUGAGAGGUCCAGGAUGAAGGGAGGCAGCGAGGUCAAGACCCCAGCCAUCUUUCACUGAUAUUUACCUCUGGUUUCUAAAGUAUAAUUCUAACACUUAAAGAACCCUCAACAACACUACAGACAAAAUUCGAAUCCCCAUGGGACCUGAUUCUUGCACACAGCCUCUGUCGGGCAUGGAUUCAGAAGGGCAGUUUCCACUGACCACAUUAGAGUCUUGAAAUGCCUCCUCAUCCAGCUGGGCCUAACCACAGAGACUGCUAGAAAGGGUCCCGAGGUUGAGAAUUUUAGGUUCAUGCAGUAGGCUUUAAUAGGCAGCCUUUUUCCCAAUAGCAGCCCAGCUCUGCCGAUACCAUUUUCCUCUGCUUAGGCAGGCUGACACCUCUGACAGCUGGGCACCUGAGCCUGCCUCUUGAAUAUGCAUGUGCUAAAGUCAGGGCAUUGGGCUGAUUUUGAGUUUUGGUUAACGUCACAAUGAAUGUCACCAUUGCCUAGUGGCAAGUCCCUGUGGCUUGGCAAAGAAGGAGAACUCUGUGGAGGUGCGUCGGGCAUGGACACUCACCUGUCUUUUUUGUGGGAUCCACAGGAUAAUCCCAUGAUCCUAGAAGAAGGCAGACAUGAGCCAGUCUGAAGAAAAGCCAAGCACAGCCCCAGAAAUAGACCACAAAAUUCCUAAGUAUCCACAAUAUCUGAAGGACUACUCAGGCCUGCCAAGACGUUGUAGAUGUGAAUUUUUUUAAGUUUGCUGCACUGUUUUUUAGGUACAGCCUACCUGUUUCCCAGGGUUGCUGUCUCCCAGUUAGUGUUUCCUGCAGAACCACAUAGUUUCAGGAGCUGCAGGUCUUUGUGUUUCUGUGGGAGUGUGGUGAGAGUUGGAUGUCUGCGUGUGUGUAGCAUUGUGUGUGUGUGUGUAUGUGUUCCUGUAAUUAGAGUCUGCUUAAAGGAAUGUGGCUGAUGCACUACAACACUUCUUUGUUUUUUUUUUGAGUCCCCCAACCUUUGGUGGCCUGUCUUUUUGCCUUUGCUUAGGCUGCAGGGCUCCGUGUUCUUUAUUUUCUGUUGAUCAUGAAUCUGCAAAGGUUUGUGAGUUGGUCCAAGAACAGCUGGAGUUCAAAUCACCUCCCUUUCCAAAAAAAAAAAAAAAAAAAAAACACUCACCUAGCAAGAAGAGGAGCACACCAACAUCACAAAAAAUGUAAAUCUUCCAGUGUUUCAUUUUCUUGCAGCCAAUACAGGGAGAGAAACUAGCAGUCCUGACUGCAGGGGCUUUGAAUUUACCUUGAAUUCGAUUCCCACCCAAGUAGGCAUUUCACAUCAUAAGGUGACACUCUGAAAUUGUGUUGGAAUUUCAUUCUGGGACAUCAAGUGUGAGCAGCAGUAAGGUCAUAUAGGGAGAGGAUACAAUCUGGAGAGGGGUGGAAGGGGUCUAGCAGCUUCACCUGCAAAAAAAAUUAAAGAUAGAUAACACAGAAGUUGCUUCUAACUCCAUCCCUGCAUUCCCUUAAUUGUAGAAAUGGUCCACACCAUGGCCCCUGUGUUCAAGUAUGAUUACUCCCACGUGAAAGGAACAUUUAGAGUGCAAAUUGGGGCUAUCCUGGCAAAAUUCCAAUUUGAGAGCUCUCAUACCUGGAGCAAAAUCUGAGUGGAAUGGAUUGAUGCUGAGUGGGAUGUGGCCUCCACACUUGCCCUCCUGUGUUCCUUGGGGUUGCCAUCUCUCAGGAGACGUUGGUUUCUCUGGCAGGAACAUUUGAACGUUGCUUGGACUCCUGCACAAGCCAGCUCAUUCACUCUGUCACCACAUACGGCCUCUGAGACACUCUCUCAACCUCAUCUGUACCUGUAAGAGGCCAGUUUGACAUGUAAG
rnacentral:lncRNA from 1 species